rnacentral:rRNA from 1 species
CCUACGGGGGGCUGCAGUGGGGAAUAUUGCACAAUGGGGGAAACCCUGAUGCAGCAACGCCGCGUGAGUGAAGAAGUAUUUCGGUAUGUAAAGCUCUAUCAGCAGGGAAGAAGAACGACGGUACCUGACUAAGAAGCACCUGCUAACUGCGUGCCAGCAGCCGCGGUAAUACGGAGGGGGCAAGCGUUAUCCGGAUUUACUGGGUGUAAAGGGAGCGUAGGGGGCUGUGCAAGUCUGAAGUGAAAGCCCGUGGCUCAACCGUGGAACUGCUUUUGAACCUGUAUAGCUUGAGUACUAGUGAGGCAGGCGGAAUGCCUAGUGUAGCGGUGAAAUGCGUAGAUAUUAGGAGGAACACCAGUGGCGAAGGCGGCCUGCUGGACAGAAACUGACGUUGAGGCUCGAAAGCGUGGGGAGCAAACAGGAUUAGAUACCCCUGUAGUC